rfam:Neotoma lepida isolate 417 scaffold_815, whole genome shotgun sequence.
GGGGAAAAGUUGGAAUGUAGAUAUUUGAAACAAAUGUGUAUAAAUAAAUGAAUUUUUGAUAACUUGGUUAUUGACCUAGAGACUGGUAGCUUGUUAAGGGAACUCCA